rnacentral:tRNA from 1 species
GGUCUGGUAGUAUAGUUGGUCAAUGCGCCGUACUAAUAAUGCGGAGAUCCUGGGUUUUCAAGCCCCAGCCGGACCA